rnacentral:rRNA from 1 species
CAGUCGCCGCGGUAAUACAGAGGGUGCAAGCGUUAAUCGGAAUUACUGGGCGUAAAGCGCGCGUAGGUGGUUUGUUAAGUUGGAUGUGAAAUCCCCGGGCUCAACCUGGGAACUGCAUCCAAAACUGGCAAGCUAGAGUAUGGUAGAGGGUGGUGGAAUUUCCUGUUUAGCGGUGAAAUGCGUAGAUAUAGGAAGGAACACCAGUGGCGAAGGCGACCACCUGGACUGAUACUGACACUGAGGUGCGAAAGCGUGGGGAGCAAACAGGAUUAGAUACCCCAGUAGUCCCUGUCUCUUAUAC